CUCUGAUUUCGAUUUCAUCUGAAUCUCUGAUUUUGAUUUCGAUCUCGAAGCUCCACCGCCACCACCAUCUGCACCAACGAGGUAGAGCGAUUUCGAUUUCGAAGCUCCAAAACACCAUCUGCACCAUCGUCUACUAAUAACCAGGAUUGGCUCAUGGUUUGGGCUGUGAUGUGGAUGCUUUUCAAUAUGAUCAAGUUUCGUAAGCCUUGCACGACUUGAGAUAACAUGAUGGUAGCAAAGCAA